CUCCCAUGAUGACCUCAGUUUUCGUGCCACGUGUCUGGGCCACUGAAAGCUCAUGAUGGCUUUUGAGGAUCUGACGGAG
rnacentral:snoRNA from 1 species